GCGGCUACCAUGCAAGUCGAGCGGUAGCACAGAGAGCUUGCUCUCGGGUGACGAGCGGCGGACGGGUGAGUAAUGUCUGGGAAACUGCCUGAUGGAGGGGGAUAACUACUGGAAACGGUAGCUAAUACCGCAUAACGUCGCAAGACCAAAGUGGGGGACCUUCGGGCCUCAUGCCAUCAGAUGUGCCCAGAUGGGAUUAGCUAGUAGGUGGGGUAACGGCUCACCUAGGCGACGAUCCCUAGCUGGUCUGAGAGGAUGACCAGCCACACUGGAACUGAGACACGGUCCAGACUCCUACGGGAGGCAGCAGUGGGGAAUAUUGCACAAUGGGCGCAAGCCUGAUGCAGCCAUGCCGCGUGUGUGAAGAAGGCCUUCGGGUUGUAAAGCACUUUCAGCGGGGAGGAAGGCGAUAAGGUUAAUAACCUUAUCGAUUGACGUUACCCGCAGAAGAAGCACCGGCUAACUCCGUGCCAGCAGCCGCGGUAAUACGGAGGGUGCAAGCGUUAAUCGGAAUUACUGGGCGUAAAGCGCACGCAGGCGGUCUGUCAAGUCGGAUGUGAAAUCCCCGGGCUCAACCUGGGAACUGCAUUCGAAACUGGCAGGCUAGAGUCUUGUAGAGGGGGGUAGAAUUCCAGGUGUAGCGGUGAAAUGCGUAGAGAUCUGGAGGAAUACCGGUGGCGAAGGCGGCCCCCUGGACAAAGACUGACGCUCAGGUGCGAAAGCGUGGGGAGCAAACAGGAUUAGAUACCCUGGUAGUCCACGCCGUAAACGAUGUCGAUUUGGAGGUUGUGCCCUUGAGGCGUGGCUUCCGGAGCUAACGCGUUAAAUCGACCGCCUGGGGAGUACGGCCGCAAGGUUAAAACUCAAAUGAAUUGACGGGGGCCCGCACAAGCGGUGGAGCAUGUGGUUUAAUUCGAUGCAACGCGAAGAACCUUACCUGGUCUUGACAUCCACAGAACUUUCCAGAGAUGGAUUGGUGCCUUCGGGAACUGUGAGACAGGUGCUGCAUGGCUGUCGUCAGCUCGUGUUGUGAAAUGUUGGGUUAAGUCCCGCAACGAGCGCAACCCUUAUCCUUUGUUGCCAGCGGUUCGGCCGGGAACUCAAAGGAGACUGCCAGUGAUAAACUGGAGGAAGGUGGGGAUGACGUCAAGUCAUCAUGGCCCUUACGACCAGGGCUACACACGUGCUACAAUGGCAUAUACAAAGAGAAGCGACCUCGCGAGAGCAAGCGGACCUCAUAAAGUAUGUCGUAGUCCGGAUUGGAGUCUGCAACUCGACUCCAUGAAGUCGGAAUCGCUAGUAAUCGUAGAUCAGAAUGCUACGGUGAAUACGUUCCCGGGCCUUGUACACACCGCCCGUCACACCAUGGGAGUGGGUUGCAAAAGAAGUAGGUAGCUUAACCUUCGGGAGGGCGCUACCACUUUG
rnacentral:rRNA from 1 species